rnacentral:lncRNA from 1 species
UAGAAAUUUCUGAGACAGCUGAGCAGCAGAAGACCUACCUGUGACACUGACCACAGCUGGAAUUUGGAACUGAAAAACAGAAACUGAUUCAAAUGAACUGGCUCAGCUAGUCGGUGCUGCUAGAAAACAGCAGUGCACAUUUCAGAGACGCACACACUCCUUCUAAUUGCAAAGCUUGCACAUUGUGAUGACAGGAAGUUCCCUUUAGUUUGGUUUACAGGAUGUCUUCAGCAAACCACACACUUCACUUUGCACAUGCAAAAAGGGCUCAGUAUCAUCCCUACUGCAAACUCAGUAACACACAAAGUGCCUGUCCUUGUGCUACAGCUUGCUCCCACAGCACUGCUUCCCUAUCAGGAUCGGAAGCACUACUUUGCACACAGAGUGGCUUAAGAGACACAGACCUGGCUGCCUUUCCCUGAACACAGAAGCGUCUCUCAGUCAACACACAGAACUUGCUGUUAACGAGAAUUUCAGAAGCAGGAAUGACACUACUGAAGAGUACUGGGGUUUUGUCAAUGAAGAAGAGAAAGGAACACAAGUGUCUGCUAAACCCACCCAAGUAAGGGGUGAAUACCAGCUCAAAGUGCCACCAAGUUUCUCCAUCCCUCCAUUACCUGAAAGAGAUUAGUAUGGAUGAAGACCAUGGAAAGAAGAUUGGGAGUGGCUUUAUGUCUCCUGAAUGUCUCCCUGCUUCAACAUGGAAAACAUUUAUGAAGACUUUGAUGAUCUCAUAAGGAUGAAAGGCAAGCUGAUUUUUAUUUAUGUAACUGUAGCAUUGAUUCUCAGUCUAUUAGAAUAAUGUCUUUAUGAUGUCUUUUACCUAAUUCGGGGGGGGGGAGGAAUAAGAAACGUAACUGUUAAUCUCAGUUCUCCUCCUACUACCACAGGCUAUUAAAAUUGAGUUCUAGAAAAUGAUUUUGAACUUCAUUAAUCCCAGGUUGUUCAUUGCAGAAGUUCUGAGCAGAAUACAUGUGGUAGGAGUUACACUUAAUGUACAACCCUAAUGGGACCCACAGUUCUCAGUAAUUCCUCCCUGUGCUUUCAAAAGUGUAGAAACAUCAAUUGAGCAAUGCUG